rnacentral:rRNA from 1 species
AUGAACGCUAGCUACAGGCUUAACACAUGCAAGUCGAGGGGCAGCAUGAACUUAGCUUGCUAAGUUUGAUGGCGACCGGCGCACGGGUGAGUAACACGUAUCCAACCUGCCGAUGACUCGGGGAUAGCCUUUCGAAAGAAAGAUUAAUACCCGAUGGCAUAGUUCUUCCGCAUGGUGGAACUAUUAAAGGAUUUCGGUCAUCGAUGGGGAUGCGUUCCAUUAGGUUGUUGGCGGGGUAACGGCCCACCAAGCCUUCGAUGGAUAGGGGUUCUGAGAGGAAGGUCCCCCACAUUGGAACUGAGACACGGUCCAAACUCCUACGGGAGGCAGCAGUGAGGAAUAUUGGUCAAUGGACGAGAGUCUGAACCAGCCAAGUAGCGUGAAGGAUGACUGCCCUAUGGGUUGUAAACUUCUUUUAUACGGGAAUAAAGUGAGGCACGUGUGCCUUUUUGUAUGUACCGUAUGAAUAAGGAUCGGCUAACUCCGUGCCAGCAGCCGCGGUAAUACGGAGGAUCCGAGCGUUAUCCGGAUUUAUUGGGUUUAAAGGGAGCGUAGGCGGACGCUUAAGUCAGUUGUGAAAGUUUGCGGCUCAACCGUAAAAUUGCAGUUGAUACUGGGUGUCUUGAGUACAGUAGAGGCAGGCGGAAUUCGUGGUGUAGCGGUGAAAUGCUUAGAUAUCACGAAGAACUCCGAUUGCGAAGGCAGCCUGCUGGACUGUAACUGACGCUGAUGCUCGAAAGUGUGGGUAUCAAACAGGAUUAGAUACCCUGGUAGUCCACACGGUAAACGAUGAAUACUCGCUGUUUGCGAUAUACGGCAAGCGGCCAAGCGAAAGCGUUAAGUAUUCCACCUGGGGAGUACGCCGGCAACGGUGAAACUCAAAGGAAUUGACGGGGGCCCGCACAAGCGGUGGAGUAUGUGGUUUAAUUCGAAGCAACGCGAAGAACCUUACCAGGUCUUGACAUCCGAUGCAUAGCGCAGAGAUGCGUGAAGUCCUUCGGGACAUCGAGACAGGUGGUGCAUGGUUGUCGUCAGCCCGUGUCGUGAGAUGUUGGGUUAAGUCCCGCAACGAGCGCAACCCCUGUCCUUAGUUGCCAGCAUGUAGAGAUGGGAACUCUAAGGAGACUGCCGUAGAUAAUACGGAGGAAGGUGGGGAUGACGUCAAAUCAUCAUGCCCCUUAUGCCCAGGGCUACACACGUACUACAAUGGCCGAUAACAAAGUGCAGCGAAACCGUGAGGUGGAGCGAAUCACAAAACUCGGUCUCAGUUCAGAUUGCAGGCUGCAACUCGCCUGCAUGAAGUUGGAAUUGCUAGUAAUCGCGGAUCAGAAUGCCGCGGUGAAUACGUUCCCGGGCCUUGUACACACCGCCCGUCACACCAUGAGAGUUGGGGAUACCCGAAGCCUGUGAGCCAACAGUUAAAUGAGGCAGCAGUCGAAGGUAGAAUCAAUGAUUGGGGUG